AGCAGAUCCCGAUUGGCAUCGUCGCCGAGUGGAACGUUCUCAAGAAUCGAACGCUCCACGUCAGCCGCUUCAGCUUCGGCGUCAAAGCAAAAAUCUGCGACAAUAGGACAAACAGACAAUAAGAGCCGAGUGCUACGCGCAUAACACUACCACUCGGAAAGAUAAGGACUUACCAGCCAGACGCGCCAUCAUCUGCCGAGCCCAGUCGCUGACAUAUUUCUCUUGUGCUCUACAUCGUUUGUUCAACACAUCCAUCUGACUCAUCAGCGCAGUCCUCUGCUUCCCCAUCUUUUCCACUUCCUCAGUCAACACCUUGUUCACUUCACGCGCCUGCUCCAAUGAUUUCUCCCGUUCCGCCAGGGCAUCCUUCAUGCCAGCCAUUGCAACCAUGGCCGCAUCAAGUUCGCCCGCGAACUGAUUUCUCUCCGCCUUGAGAUUCUCAUAGGCUGAUCCCAUUGCACAAGUUUUCUGCAAACAACAAACAAGGGACAAUCAGAAAGUUCAACAGUUAACAGUCUAAGUUUUUCAGACCCUUGCCGACGCAAGCAGUCGGCAACGGUCUCGGGGACUACACCCAGUGGGUUCACUAAGCAUGACCCCACUGGCAUGCACCUCAACCAGGCCUGCCCUAUUGAGAUGCAUGUUAUCAACUACGCCUCCGAGGCCAAUACUACCCGACCUGAGUACAACUUACUCUCGGGGACACUUACCGUAAGUGCAAUCCGACUGCAACAACUACUCGCACUCGGUACUCCUAUCUACAGACACAAC
rnacentral:lncRNA from 1 species